rnacentral:rRNA from 1 species
AUGAACGCUAGCGACAGGCUUAACACAUGCAAGUCGAGGGGCAGCACAGGUAGCAAUACCGGGUGGCGACCGGCGCACGGGUGAGUAACGCGUAUGCAACUUGCCUAUCAGAGGGGGAUAACCCGGCGAAAGUCGGACUAAUACCGCAUGAAGCAGGGGCCCCGCAUGGGGAUAUUUGCUAAAGAUUCAUCGCUGAUAGAUAGGCAUGCGUUCCAUUAGGCAGUUGGCGGGGUAACGGCCCACCAAACCGACGAUGGAUAGGGGUUCUGAGAGGAAGGUCCCCCACAUUGGUACUGAGACACGGACCAAACUCCUACGGGAGGCAGCAGUGAGGAAUAUUGGUCAAUGGGCGUAAGCCUGAACCAGCCAAGUCGCGUGAGGGAUGAAGGUUCUAUGGAUCGUAAACCUCUUUUAUAAGGGAAUAAAGUGCGGGACGUGUCCCGUUUUGUAUGUACCUUAUGAAUAAGGAUCGGCUAACUCCGUGCCAGCAGCCGCGGUAAUACGGAGGAUCCGAGCGUUAUCCGGAUUUAUUGGGUUUAAAGGGUGCGUAGGCGGCCUUUUAAGUCAGCGGUGAAAGUCUGUGGCUCAACCAUAGAAUUGCCGUUGAAACUGGGGGGCUUGAGUAUGUUUGAGGCAGGCGGAAUGCGUGGUGUAGCGGUGAAAUGCAUAGAUAUCACGCAGAACCCCGAUUGCGAAGGCAGCCUGCCAAGCCAUUACUGACGCUGAUGCACGAAAGCGUGGGGAUCAAACAGGAUUAGAUACCCUGGUAGUCCACGCAGUAAACGAUGAUCACUAGCUGUUUGCGAUACACUGUAAGCGGCACAGCGAAAGCGUUAAGUGAUCCACCUGGGGAGUACGCCGGCAACGGUGAAACUCAAAGGAAUUGACGGGGGCCCGCACAAGCGGAGGAACAUGUGGUUUAAUUCGAUGAUACGCGAGGAACCUUACCCGGGUUUGAACGCAUUCGGACCGAGGUGGAAACACCUUUUCUAGCAAUAGCCGUUUGCGAGGUGCUACAUGGUUGUCGUCAGCUCGUGCCGUGAGGUGUCGGCUUAAGUGCCAUAACGAGCGCAACCCUUGCCACUAGUUACUAACAGGUGAUGCUGAGGACUCUGGUGGGACUGCCAGCGUAAGCUGCGAGGAAGGCGGGGAUGACGUCAAAUCAGCACGGCCCUUACAUCCGGGGCGACACACGUGUUACAAUGGCGUGGACAAAGGGAGGCCACCUGGCGACAGGGAGCGAAUCCCCAAACCACGUCUCAGUUCGGAUCGGAGUCUGCAACCCGACUCCGUGAAGCUGGAUUCGCUAGUAAUCGCGCAUCAGCCAUGGCGCGGUGAAUACGUUCCCGGGCCUUGUACACACCGCCCGUCAAGCCAUGGGAGCCGGGGGUACCUGAAGUCCGUAACCGAAAGGAUCGGCCUAGGGUAAAACUGGUGACUGGGGCU